rnacentral:rRNA from 1 species
GACGAACCGUGCGAACGUUAUUCGGAAUCACUGGGCUUAAAGCGCGUGUAGGCGGGCCGGCACGUCGGUCGCUGAAAUCCCCCGGCUCAACCGGGGAAGGGGCGCCGAUACGACCGGCCUGGAGGGGCGUAGGGGGACCGGGAACUUCCGGUGGAGCGGUGAAAUGCGUUGAGAUCGGAAGGAACGCCCGUGGCGAAAGCGCGGUCCUGGACGCCUGCUGACGCUGAGACGCGAAAGCCAGUGGAGCGAACGGG